GACGAACGCUGGCGGCGUGCUUAACACAUGCAAGUCGAACGGUGAAGCGCCUUCCUUUUUGGUGGGUGUGGAUGAGUGGCGAACGGGUGAGUAACACGUGAGUAACCUGCCCCCUUCUUCUGGAUAACCGCAUGAAAGUGUGGCUAAUACGGGAUAUUCUGGGUCUGUCGCAUGAUGGGUCUGGGAAAGAUAUUGUUUCGGUGGGGGAUGGGCUCGCGGCCUAUCAGCUUGUUGGUGGGGUGAUGGCCUACCAAGGCGGUGACGGGUAGCCGGCCUGAGAGGGUGGACGGUCACACUGGGAAUGAGACACGGCCCAGACUCGUACGGGAGGCAGCAGUGGGGAAUAUUGCACAAUGGGCGGAAGCCUGAUGCAGCGACGCCGCGUGAGGGAUGGAGGCCUUCGGGUUGUGAACCUCUUUCGCCAGUGAAGCAGGCCUGCCUCGUUUGUGGGUGGGUUGACGGUAGCUGGAUAAGAAGCGCCGGCUAACUACGUG
rnacentral:rRNA from 1 species